rnacentral:rRNA from 1 species
UACGGAGGGUGCGAGCGUUGUCCGGAAUCACUGGGCGUAAAGGGCGCGUAGGCGGCGCGGGGAGUCAACGGUGAAAGCUCGGCGCUCAACGCCGAGUCGGCCGUCGAUACUCCCGUGCUCGAGCACUGUAGAGGCAGGUGGAAUUCCGGGUGUAGCGGUGGAAUGCGUAGAGAUCCGGAAGAACACCGGUGGCGAAGGCGGCGACCUGGUCCUUGACUGACGCUGAGGCGCGAAAGCGUGGGGAGCAAACAGG